rnacentral:misc_RNA from 1 species
AACGCACGAGACCUGCGGACCUGCGGAAGGAUCAUUACUGAGUUUCACAACUCUCUAACCCUGUGUGAACUGAAGUCUGGUUGCUCAGGCAGGCGGCCCCCGGGGGGAGCCGCAGCUUCUCUGAAGCGCCUGCCGGAGGAUACCUAAACUCGUUUUAACAUAUAAUCUUCUGAGUAAUAAAAAAAAUGAAUCAAAACUUUUAACAACGGAUCUCU